UACAAAGGUCCCAAGCGUUGUUCGGAUUCACUGGGCGUAAAGGGUGCGUAGGUGGUGAGGUAAGUCGGAUGUGAAAUCUCCAAGCUCAACUUGGAAACUGCAUUGGAAACUACCUUGCUAGAGGAUUUGAGGGGGGAUUGGAAUACUUGGUGUAGCAGUGAAAUGCGUAGAUAUCAAGUGGAACACCAGUGGCGAAGCCGAAUCCCUGGAAAAUACCUGACACUGAGACACGAAAGCUAGGGGAGCAAACAAG
rnacentral:rRNA from 1 species